rnacentral:tRNA from 7 species
GUGACACGAGGAUUUUCAGUCCUCUGCUCUACCAACUGAGCUAUCCCGGC